GCCCAGAUAGCUCAGUCGGCAGAGCAUUUCACUCGUAAUGAAAAGGUCCAGGGUUCGAUUCCCUGUCUGGGCUCCA
rnacentral:tRNA from 2 species